UGUCGCUGUAGAUUUAGCAGUACAUUACUGUAAAAAUCCACAGUACUAUACUGUAUGUAUACAUUACAGUACAGUACUGCAGUUCAUAAUGCAUUCUGGGUAAAUUUGUUUGAGCGGGAAAAUUUUACAGUAUCUUUUGGUCUUGAUGUAACCUUGCUGUAGCCAUUGCUGUAAUGUGCCAGGUGUACUUGCAAUAAUCAGAGAAAGUGCGCCAACGUCAAAUCACACAGACAGAGGGAGAGCACAACUCCUGGCUGCAGCUGAAGGAGGAUGAUUGAUUUCUGGCAGUUCGUCUUACCAUUGCUUGUAAGCUGGAUUGGGUAAGAUGGAUCAUCUUUAAAGGCACCAGGAGUUAAGGCAGAUGUGGAGGCACAACGGGUGAUACCAGACACACACCAAGCACAUUAUGUUCGGACAUUAAAUCAUGACAGGAUCCAGGUGGAUGCUGUCCAUUGAGGAAAGAGUUUGUUCAGCGGUUUCUGGAUAGAAUUAAUUCCAAAGAUGGGAAAAAGUGCACAUCCAGACAAGGAGCAAGCAAAAAGACAAGGAACUUGGUGCAGAGAAAAGCUGUGGCCAUUAACCCCCAUGUGAACAGCUUCAUGCAGUCCCUGAUUGAGUUCGAAUGGACGACUUCAAAGUAAAGGCCACUGUGGUCUGUCUGCCACAGUUUAAUGCAUUUAUUUUUAGUGUUAAAUGAAAUUUAAGUAGAAUAUUUAAAACUAUGGGCCAUUGUUCUUUUUACCACAGUGAAAUGUUACCUUUUAGUCGAUGAUGGACUUUAAACUGAAAACUUCAAACUAUGGACCUGUGUUCUAUUUGCCAGAGUUAAAUAUGUUACAGCAGGGGUCUCCAAACUUGUUUAUACUUGUUGAUUUUAUUUUAUGUUACUUGAUUAUAUGUUUAUUAUUGUUUAAAAUCUUGUUUUAAAUAUGUUUGUUUCAAUUAAAUGU